rnacentral:rRNA from 1 species
AUUGAACGCUGGCGGCAGGCCUAACACAUGCAAGUCGAACGAGUGGCGGACGGGUGAGUAAUGUCUGGGAAACUGCCCGAUGGCGGGGGAUAACUACUGGAAACGGUAGCUAAUACCGCAUACCAUCAGAUGUGCCCAGAUGGGAUUAGCUCGUGGGUGGGGUAACGGCUCACCAAGGCGACGAUCCGUAGCUGGUCUGAGAGGAUGACCAGCCACACUGGGACUGAGACACGGUCCAGACGCCUACGGGAGGCAGCAGUGGUGAAUAUUGCACAAUGGGCGAAAGCCUGAUCCAGCCAUGCCGCGUGUAUGAUGAAGGCCUUCGGGUUGUAAAGUACUUUCGGCAGAGAAGCGGUACCUGCAGAAGAAGCACCGGCUAACUACGUGCCAGCAGCCGCGGUAAUAC